AGGAGAACCCCGACUAAAGCACCCGAGGGAAGAGACAGGUGAGGGAGCAGAGGAGAGGAGAACCCUGACUAAAACACCCGAGGGAAGAGACAGGUGAGGGAGCAGAGGAGAACCCUGACUAAAACACCAGAGGGAAGAGAGGUGAGGGAGCAGAGGAGAACCCCGACUAAAACACCCGAGGGAGACAGAGAGAGAGACAGAGAGAGAGAGACAGACAGAGAGAGAGAGACAGAGAGAGAGUGCGCGGGCACUAGAAAAUUCUGCAGCACCCGGC
ensembl:lncRNA